UCUUGGACAUUAUGGAUGAGGAAGAGGGUGCUAACAUUGAAGGAGGUUCUAGUCAGAGAGACGAUGGUAAUCUGCAGAUGACUGAGGAUGUGCUGGAGAGGGUUCUCGAGUAGGAAUUGGGGGAAGGUGUCCCUGCUAUUAUCAUUGAAUCAUCAGAGGAUGGUGUUCCCCUUGCUGUUAGGGCUGAAAGCUAAAGAGGGUGGAGAUUGCUGAGGUUGAGGAAGAUGAAGGUGUUAAUUCCCUAGGUGGGUCCGGUGCCUUCUCUGUUGAUGUUGGUAUCGAGGAUUUUUUUAGUGGAGUGCUUGAUUCUUGUAGACCCUACCAAAGUUGGAGAGAAGGCCACUACUAAGUAUGUCAUGAAGCACUCUAAUAGGUCCCGCGAGGACAAGGGAAAGGCUGUGGACGUGUCCUCCUAAGAGGUAUGCAUUCCUUAGUAUGGAGCGAUCACUGACGAUCCAGCCCUGGCCGAGAAGGUGGUGAUUGAGGGUGCCCUUCCUAGGGACAAGGCUACCUAUAAGGGGAAGAAAUUUCAAUCUUUGCUGAGCAAGGGGUAUAUUCAUCAAGCUAUUGGUCAAGAGCUUAUAGGGGAGCUAUUACGACGUGCAGAUGAUUAUUAUCAAUCUGCAAAGAGUCUGAAGAAGAAGGCUGCUGAGGCUUGGGUUACGACUCGUGAAUGGAGGACCAAGUUUGAGGAUGCAGAUAAGGUGAGGAGCUCGGUUGAGAUGGAGAUUGCUUUGAAGGAGAAGAAAAGGGCGAGUCUGAAGGAUCGUUAUGCUGAUUUGGAGGUGAGUAAGGUGGAAACCAUGGCCAAAUUGUUGUGUGCUGAAAAAGAGUUGGAGCAGAGGAAGGUGGAGAGCAAGCAACAAGUCAAGGAAGUGGCCCAGUUGAAGGAUGCUCUUGACACGCAAGUGCAACGUACUCAAAAGUAUGUGUCUGAGGCCAAGACUGCCUAUAACAGGGGGUGCGAUGACUUGAUAGAGAAGUACAAAUGAUCAGAUCAGUUUGAUCAUGAGGUUGCCUUCUACGAAGCUAAACUAUAUCUUAAAGGGAUGUUGCUCGUUCAUGAGGAGGUAUGGGCUCGCCAGCUUGACUUCGACCUAAGCCACUUUGCACGAGAAUGGGAGAAGGCAAAACAAUUCAACAUAACGUUGGAUGAUCGGUCUUCUUCAAGCUCUACUGCUGUGGCUUUACCUGCUCCUACCAAGAUUCCUACUGAUGAUGCUCUUCCUAAAGAUUCUCCUGCUUCUGUUGAUCCUCUUACUACUACGACUGGCCCUUUAAUAACUCCUGCUGAUGUUCCUGAGAGUACAUAUUUUAGUAGUGUAUUCCUUUCUUUUUUUCGUCUUUCUCUGGUAUUGUUCUGAGGUAAUGUGAAUAUUAUCUGAUCGCCUAAAAUAUGGUGGAGAUUCUGGUAUUUUAUGGCUUUCAAUGGUGUAUUAUUGUGGUUCCAUGUAAUGUAAUGGUUUUUUAUGGUAGGGAGGUAGGAGUUUUAUGAUAGGGAGGCAGGGGCUUCUAAGUGUAGAAGUUUGCAAGGUCCUUAUGAAUAGGGAGGCAGGAGCUUCUAAGUGUAGAUACUCGCAUGGUCCUAAUGAUUAGGGAGGCAGGAGCUUCUAAGUGUAGAAGCUCUCAAGGUCCUUAUGCUUUGCUCGACUUGUGAGAGAGAGAGUAAAUUCAUUGAACAGCAAUUUUAUUGAUAGAUUUUCUGAGAUUUACAGAGUUC